rnacentral:rRNA from 1 species
UACGGAGGGUGCGAGCGUUAAUCGGAAUUACUGGGCGUAAAGCGCGCGUAGGCGGGUUUUCAAGUCAGAAGUGAAAUCCCCGGGCUUAACCUGGGAAUAGCUUUUGAAACUGGUAGCCUUGAGUUCGGGAGAGGGUGGUGGAAUUCCAGGUGUAGGAGUGAAAUCCGUAGAUAUCUGGAGGAACAUCAGUGGCGAAGGCGGCCACCUGGCCCGAUACUGACGCUGAGGUGCGAAAGCGUGGGUAGCAAACAGG